AUUGAACGCUGGCGGCAGGCUUAACACAUGCAAGUCGAGCGGGGAAAGGUAGCUUGCUACCUGACCUAGCGGCGGACGGGUGAGUAAUGCUUAGGAAUCUGCCUAUUAGUGGGGGACAACAUCUCGAAAGGGAUGCUAAUACCGCAUACGUCCUACGGGAGAAAGCAGGGGACCUUCGGGCCUUGCGCUAAUAGAUGAGCCUAAGUCGGAUUAGCUAGUUGGUGGGGUAAAGGCCUACCAAGGCGACGAUCUGUAGCGGGUCUGAGAGGAUGAUCCGCCAAACUGGGAAUGGGACACCGCCCAGACUCCUACGGGAGGCAGCAGUGAGGAAUAUUGGACAAUUGGGGGAACCCUGAUCCAGCCAUGCCGCGGGUGUGAAGAAGGCCUUUUGGUUGGAAAGCACUUGAAGCGAGGAGGAGGCUACCGAGAUUAAUACUCUUGGAUAGUGGACGUUACUCGCAGAAUAAGCACCGGCUAACUCUGUG
rnacentral:rRNA from 1 species